rnacentral:rRNA from 1 species
AGUGAACGCUGGCGGUAGGCCUAACACAUGCAAGUCGAACGGCAGCACAGGAGAGCUUGCUCUCUGGGUGGCGAGUGGCGGACGGGUGAGGAAUACAUCGGAAUCUACUCUGUCGUGGGGGAUAACGUAGGGAAACUUACGCUAAUACCGCAUACGACCUACGGGUGAAAGCAGGGGAUCCUCGGACCUUGCGCGAUUGAAUGAGCCGAUGUCGGAUUAGCUAGUUGGCGGGGUAAAGGCCCACCAAGGCGACGAUCCGUAGCUGGUCUGAGAGGAUGAUCAGCCACACUGGAACUGAGACACGGUCCAGACUCCUACGGGUGGCAGCAGUGGGGAAUGUUGGACAAUGGGCGCAAGCCUGAUCCAGCCAUACCGCGUGGGUGAAGAAGGCCUUCGGGUUGUAAAGCCCUUUUGUUGGGAAAGAAAUCCAGCUGGCUAAUACCCGGUUGGGAUGACGGUACCCAAAGAAUAAGCACCGGCUAACUUCGUGCCAGCCGCCGCCGUAA